rnacentral:rRNA from 1 species
UACGGAGGGUGCGAGCGUUAAUCGGAAUUACUGGGCGUAAAGCGCACGCAGGCGGUUUGUCAAGCUAGAUGUGAAAGCCCCGGGCUCAACCUGGGAUGGUCAUUUAGAACUGGCAGACUAGAGUCUUGGAGAGGGGAGUGGAAUUCCAGGUGUAGCGGUGAAAUGCGUAGAUAUCUGGAGGAACAUCAGUGGCGAAGGCGACUCCCUGGCCAAAGACUGACGCUCAUGUGCGAAAGUGUGGGUAGCGAACAGG